rnacentral:rRNA from 3 species
UGGGGAAUUUUGGACAAUGGGCGAAAGCCUGAUCCAGCAAUGCCGCGUGCAGGAUGAAGGCCUUCGGGUUGUAAACUGCUUUUGUACGGAACGAAAAAGCUUCUCCUAAUACGAGAGGCCCAUGACGGUACCGUAAGAAUAAGCACCGGCUAACUACGUGCCAGCAGCCGCGGUAAUACGUAGGGUGCGAGCGUUAAUCGGAAUUACUGGGCGUAAAGCGUGCGCAGGCGGUUAUGUAAGACAGAUGUGAAAUCCCCGGGCUCAACCUGGGAACUGCAUUUGUGACUGCAUGGCUAGAGUACGGUAGAGGGGGAUGGAAUUCCGCGUGUAGCAGUGAAAUGCGUAGAUAUGCGGAGGAACACCGAUGGCGAAGGCAAUCCCCUGGACCUGUACUGACGCUCAUGCACGAAAGCGUGGGGAGCAAACA